GACAGAGGCCUCAAGCGUUAGGCGGAAUCACUGGGCUUAAAGCGUGUGUAGGCGGAUCGUUAAGUGCCUUGUGAAAUCCCACGGCUUAACUGUGGAACGGCUGGGCAUACUGGCGGUCUUGAGCCAUCUAGGGGCGACUGGAACAAACGGUGGAGCGGUGAAAUGCGUAGAUAUCAGGAGGAACACCAAUGGCGAAGGCAGAUCUCUGGGCCGUAACUGACGCUGAGGAGCGAAAGCAUGGGGAGCGAACAGG
rnacentral:rRNA from 1 species